rnacentral:lncRNA from 1 species
GGCAAGAUACAGGCCCCGGCUGAGGGUAACUACAAUUUGACUUGUUACUGCCUGUGUGACUCAUGGUUAGGUUGUGACAAACGGACAAAUUUGAAAGUUAAAAUUCUGAAACGAACUCGGGCUGGCACUCGGGGUGGUAUCGUUUCCGAAGAAGGACCCAUUGUGGAGGAUGGAGCUGAAGAGGAAGAGGAGGAUGAAGAAGAGGAAUAUGAUGAUUACGAGAGUGAGUACAGUGAAGAUGAGGAGGAUGAGA